rnacentral:rRNA from 1 species
GACGAACGCUGGCGGCGUGCUUAACACAUGCAAGUCGAACGGAAAGGCCCUGCUUUUGUGGGGUGCUCGAGUGGCGAAAGGGUGAGUAACACGUGAGUAACCUGCCCUUGACUUUGGGAUAACUUCAGGAAACUGGGGCUAAUACCGGAUAGGAGCUCUUGCUGCAUGGUGGGGGUUGGAAAGUUUCGGCGGUUGGGGAUGGACUCGCGGCUUAUCAGCUUGUUGGUGGGGUAGUGGCUUACCAAGGCUUUGACGGGUAGCCGGCCUGAGAGGGUGACCGGCCACAUUGGGACUGAGAUACGGCCCAGACUCCUACGGGAGGCAGCAGUGGGGAAUAUUGCACGAUGGGCGGAAGCCUGAUGCAGCAACGCCGCGUGCGGGAUGACGGCCUUCGGGUUGUAAACCGCUUUCGCCUGUGACGAAGCGUGAGUGACGGUAAUGGGUAAAGAAGCACCGGCUAACUACGUG